GGGUGUGAGAAUGGAUGCAAUAUGGUUGUUAUAUGUGAUGGCAAUUAUAUCUCAUAUAGGAGUCCUUCUUUUAUGAGUAUUAGAUUGAUUCAAAGUAUAUUUGAAUUAGGAGUCCUAUACUUAUUGGGUCAUAGGAAUCAUUUAUAAAUAGAGAGGGUCUCUACCUAUGGAUGCAUAGCAAACAAAUCAGAUUGAGAGAAGAG
rnacentral:lncRNA from 1 species